rnacentral:rRNA from 1 species
AUAAUAAGUUACUAAGGGCUUAUGGUGGAUGCCUUGGGACUGGAAGGCGAUGAAGGACGUGCUAAUCUGCGAUAAGCUACGGGUAGCUGAUAAGAGGCGUUUAUCCGUAGAUGUCCGAAUGGGGGAACCUAAAUAAUAGUGAUAUUAUUUAUCAUUAACUGAAUAAAUAGGUUAAUGAAGCUAUACCUAGUGAAGUGAAACAUCUCAGUAACUAGAGGAAAAGAAAACGAAUGUGAUUCCGUAAGUAGUGGCGAGCGAAAGCGGAACAGGCCAAACCGGAUUAAUUUCCGGGGUUGUAGGACUACAAUGUGGACUUAGAAAGGAUAGCAGAAUUGGUUGGGAAGCCAAAUCAUAGAGGGUGACAAUCCCGUAUGCGAAAUCUUUUUUAUACCUAGUAGUAUCCUGAGUACGGCGGGACACGUGGAAUCCUGUCGGAAUCUGCCCAGACCAUUGGGUAAGCCUAAAUACUAACCAGUCACCGAUAGCGCAUAGUACCGUGAGGGAAAGGUGAAAAGAACCCAGGGAUGGGAGUGAAAUAGAAUCUGAAACCAUAUGCCUACGACGUGUCAGAGCACAUUAAUGUGUGAUGGCGUGCGUUUUGAAGUAUGAGCCGGCGAGUUAUUGUUGCAUGCAAGGUUAAGUUGUAGAGGCGGAGCCGAAGGGAAACCGAGUCUUAAUAGGGCGUUUAGUAUGUAGCAAUAGACCCGAAACGGGAUGAUCUAGCCAUGGGCAGGUUGAAGUUUGGGUAACACCAAAUGGAGGACCGAACCGACGUUCGUUGAAACGACCGCGGAUGACCUGUGGCUAGGGGUGAAAUUCCAAUCGAAUUCCGUGAUAGCUGGUUCUCGCCGAAAUAAUUUUAGGAUUAGCGUUGGAUCAUGAUUGUAUGAAGGUAAAGCACUGAAUGUAUGAUGGCGUCACCUCGAUGUACUGAAUACAAUUAAACUCUGAAUGUCAUGCAAUUUAAUCCAGCAGUCAGACUGUGGGGGAUAAGCUUCAUAGUCGCGAGGGAAAAAGCCCAGAUCGUUAGCUAAGGUCCCCAAAUUAUGCUAAGUGGAAAAGGAUGUUAAGAUACUUAAACAGCAAGGAUGUUGGCUUAGAAGCAGCCAUCGUUUAAAGAGUGCGUAACAGCUCACUUGUCGAGUGUCUUUGCGCCAAAGAUUCAACGGGGCUAAGCAUAAUACCGAAGCUACGGGCUACAUUGUAGCGGUAGGCGAGUGUUCUAUAUGGGAUGAAGGUAGAUCGUGAGAACUACUGGACUUUAUAGAAGUAAGAAUGCCGGCAUGAGUAACGUAUGGAAGUGAGAAUCUUCCAAGCCGUAUUGACCAAGGUUUCCAGGACUAGGUUCGUCCAUCCUGGGUUAGUCGGUCCUAAGGCGAGGCCGAAAGGCGUAGUCGAUGGCAAACAGGUUAAUAUUCCUGUACCGAUACAUGAAUGAUGGAGUGACGGAGAAGGUUAUUGCAGCCCGGUUAUCGGAUUCCGGGUUAAGUGUCAAGUCUUGCAAGUUGGCAAAUCCGCUUGCUAUAAUGGUGAGGCACGAAUACGAGUGAACCCGCAAGGUAGUAGCGAAGCUGCAUAUAUCAUGCUUCCAAGAAAAGCUUCUAGUUUAUCAUUGUAUCGACCGUACCGAGAACGAACACACGUGGUCAAGGAGAGUAUCCUAAGGCUAGCGAGUUAACUAUUGUUAAGGAACUCUGCAAAUUAAUCCCGUAAGUUCGCGAGAAGGGAUGCUCAUUAAUUUGAGCCGCAGUGAAGAGCGAGGGGGAACUGUUUAACAAAAACACAGCUCUAUGCUAAAUCGUAAGAUGAUGUAUAUGGGGUGACACCUGCCCAGUGCCGGAAGGUUAAGGAAGGAUGUUAGGAGCAAUCUGAAGCAUUUGACCGAAGCCCUGGUGAACGGCGGCCGUAACUAUAACGGUCCUAAGGUAGCGAAAUGCCUUGUCGGGUAAAUUCCGUCCCGCUUGAAUGGUGUAAUCAUCUCUUGACUGUCUCGACAAUAGACUCGGUGAAAUUCCGGCGAGGGUGAAGACGCCCUCUAGGCGCGAUUGGACAAAAAGACCCCAUGAAGCUUUACUGUAGCUUAAUAUUGGGACGCUUUAAUUCAUUUAGAGAAUAGGUGGGAGAUUUUGAAGUAGAUUCGCUAGGAUCUAUGGAGUCGCCAGUGGAAUACCACCAUUGUAUUAAGGUUUCUCUAACUUACUCCCGUGAAUCCGGUUGAAGGACAGUGUUAGGUGGGCAGUUUGACUGGGGCGGUCGCCUCCCAAAAGGUAACGGAGGCGCGCAAUGGUACACUCAACAUGGUUGGAAAUCAUGUGCAGAGCGUAAUGGUAUAAGUGUGCUUGACUGUGAGACUGAUAGGUCGAACAGGUAGGAAACUAGGUCAUAGUGAUCCGGUGGUUCGGUAUGGAACGGCCAUCGCUCAACAGAUAAAAGCUACUCUGGGGAUAACAGGCUGAUACUGCCCAAGAGUUCAUAUCGACGGCAGUGUUUGGCACCUCGAUGUCGACUCAUCUCAUCCUGGAGCUGAAGCAGGUUCCAAGGGUUCGGCUGUUCGCCGAUUAAAGAGAUACGUGAGUUGGGUUCAAACCGUCGUGAGACAGGUUGGUUUUUAUCUGUCGUGCCCGUAAGAAGAUUGAGAAGAGCUGCUCUUAGUACGAGAGGACCGGAGUGGAGAUACCUCUAGUGUUCCAGUUGUCACGCCAGUGGCACAGCUGGGUAGCUACGUAUCGAACAGAUAAACGCUGAAAGCAUCUAAGCGUGAAGCUGACUUCAAGAUUAAUCUUCUAUUAGAAUCGUUGAAGACUACGACGUUGAUAGGUUAGAAGUGUAAGCAUGGUGACAUGUUCAGCUGACUAAUACUAAUAAUUCGAAAACUUAUUUGU